CACAUCUGUUCCUCCCUCAUAAAACCCUAGCGGUGCCGAACAGAGGUGCUGAGCUUUAUAACGGCGGUUGUAGUCCACGCACGGAGCUUAGAGCUCGACUCAUGGAGAUGGAGACUUGAGGUUCUUGGAUUUCUGCAAUUUGCAGUAUCGGAGAAGAUGAGCUACUGGGGUAGCUUUGGUUGAAAUCGGUUAUGGGAUUUGAAUGAUUGGUGAUGUUGGAAUUGCAGCCACGACGGAAUUAAACUCUUAAUCGGAAAAGAAGAUUAGUAAGGGCCAGGUUUGGUGAUCUUGUAAUUGUUAUGGUUUAGUUGAACAAAUUAUGAUGGUGAUUUGAGCAUGAUGUUGAAUGGUUGGAAAAUGGAUUAAACGAAGGUUAAUUUAAGAUGACAUUUUGGGUCAAAUGCUUACACAGUUUGGUAAUUGAGAUUGAAUUAGUUUUCAGAAGUAAAUUAGUGACACAAGCAUUGUAUCUGCUGCAUUUUUUAUUGUAUUAUGAGCAUGUAAAGUUCGUAAAGUGAUGAGUUUAUACCAAUGUCGAAAUAUCAUAUAAGGAAGUGGUAGAAUUCAAAUAAAAAGUAAAUAAAUAAGUGACUUCAAAAUCUGAUAAAGGACCAAAACCUUCUUUUGAUAAAGUCAAAGAGGAAUGCGCCAAGCCAGGCCAUGUGCCUCCUCUGUACGCUCCCCGACCACAUGCUCGAGACCUGCACACUGUUGUAGGGGUGAGCUUUCGUCCUCGCAUGCCCAGUAAGGGUCGACCCAACCAUGCUAGGUGUUGGCUAUCUAGUUGAUUUUUCAACCCUUGGCUCCGACUUCGAUUGGAUCCCUCAGAUCCUUUGCUGCAAAUCUGCUCUAGAUAGAGACUGCUUCGUUUGGAGCGUGUUUACCCUCUUGGGAUGAGAACGGUGGGACAACCUCGACCCACUCUUAGUGGUCUCCCGACGGUUUAAUUUGGCAGCGGACGACCUUGGAGGGUGGAAUCAAUCUGCCUCUUCUUGUUCCUAGACCAGAUGGUGGUUGGAAGAGGUUGGUGGCGGUGCUUGGUCUCAGAGCGUUGGGUGGUGGUAGCUCUAUGUUGGCGAACUUUUAUAGCGAUCGAUGCGCUAGGCACCGAUUUGGUUCUCUGGUGCUUUUCGAACCUGACAGGUCAGUGUAUCCGGUGAAGUUGGAGACGUCGGUGCUAUUGAAGGAGUCGAUGAAUCCUUUGUGGCUUGGGUGCAUGGCUGUUGGUGCUAAGGAGAUCUCACCCGAGUGCAGCGGUGCAGUCGAGGUUGACCGAGGUUUCAGGCGGAGAGUAACAGCACUGCAGACCUGGCAACCCCAAUCAGUUUAUGGUUUUGGGCUAUGUCACGAGACUAUGUUGUAGCUAGGGUUUGCAUUUUGGACUUGGGCCCUUCCUUGAGCUUUGGGCCUGAUUCUUGGAUUGCUAAAGCUAUUGAUAGUGUAUUUGAAUUUCUUUAUUCUUGUAUGAUUGCGAGCUCCAACCCUUCUAAAGGGCAGGAUUUCGUAGUUGUUUAGUUGUUUAGUUAGAUUUUAAGUCUAUGCUAGUAGAAGCUUCUCUAGAAGCGUCUGUAGAAGUA